UACGAAGGGGGCAAGCGUUGUUCGGAAUUACUGGGCGUAAAGGGCUCGUAGGUGGCCAACUAAGUCAGACGUGAAAUCCCUCGGCUUAACCGGGGAACUGCGUCUGAUACUGGAUGGCUUGAGUUUGGGAGAGGGACGCGGAAUUCCAGGUGUAGCGGUGAAAUGCGUAGAUAUCUGGAGGAACACCGGUGGCGAAGGCGGCGUCCUGGACCAACACUGACACUGAGGAGCGAAAGCCAGGGGAGCAAACAGG
rnacentral:rRNA from 1 species